GACGGGGGCCCGCACAAGCGGAGGAACAUGUGGUUUAAUUCGAUGAUACGCGAGGAACCUUACCCGGGCUUGAAUUGCUGGUGACGGUUGGUGGAGACAUCUUCCUUCNUUCGGGACGCCAGUGAAGGUGCUGCAUGGUUGUCGUCAGCUCGUGCCGUAAGGUGUCGGCUCAAGUGCCAUAACGAGCGCAACCCUUGCCGUUAGUUGCCAUCAGGUAGUGCUGGGCACUCUAUCGGGACUGCCAUCGUAAGAUGUGAGGAAGGUGGGGAUGACGUCAAAUCAGCACGGCCCUUAUGUCCGGGGCUACACACGUGUUACAAUGGGGGGUACAGAGGGAAGCCACCUGGCGACAGGGCGCGGAUCCCGAAAUCCCUUCUCAGUUCGGAUCGGAGUCUGGAACCCGACUCCGUGAAGCUGGAUUCGCUAGUAAUCGCGCAUCAGCCAUGGCGCGGUGAAUACGUUCCCGGGCCUUGUACACACCGCCCGUCAAGCCAUGAAAGCCGGGGGCUCUUGAAGUCCGUGGGAGCGAGGAUCGGCCUA
rnacentral:rRNA from 1 species